rnacentral:rRNA from 1 species
GACGAACGCUGGCGGCGUGCUUAACACAUGCAAGUCGAACGGUGAAGGGACCGGUUUUUGCUGGUUCUGGAUGAGUGGCGAACGGGUGAGUAACACGUGAGUAACCUGCCCCCUUCUUCUGGAUAACCGCAUGAAAGUGUGGCUAAUACGGGAUAUUCUGCGCCUGCUGCAUGGUGGGUGUGGGAAAGAUAUUGUUUCGGUGGGGGAUGGGCUCGCGGCCUAUCAGCUUGUUGGUGGGGUGAUGGCCUACCAAGGCGGUGACGGGUAGCCGGCCUGAGAGGGUGGACGGUCACACUGGGACUGAGACACGGACCAGACUCCUACGGGAGGCAGCAGUGGGGAAUAUUGCACAAUGGGCGCAAGCCUGAUGCAGCGACGCCGCGUGAGGGAUGGAGGCCUGCGGGUUGUAAACCUCUUUCGCCAGUGGAGCAGGCCUGUCCCUUUUGUGGGUGGGUUGACGGUAGCUGGAUAAGAAGCGCCGGCUAACUACGUG